GGUGCUGCACGGCCUGUCGUCAGCUCGUGUCGUGAGAUGUUGGGUUAGUCCGCACGAGCGCAACCCCCGUCAUUAGUUGCUAACGGGUUAUGCCGAGAACUCUAAUGAGACUGCCUUCGUAAGGAGGAGGAAGGUGGGGACGACGUCAAGUCAUCAUGGGCCCUUAUGCCUGGGGCGACACACGUGCUACAAUGGUAUGUACAGAGAGACGCAAUACGGCGACGUGGAGCAAAUCUCUAAAACAUAUCUCAGUUCGGAUUGUAGUCUGCAACUCGACUACAUGAAGCUGGAAUCGCUAGUAAUCGCGGAUCAGCCAUGCCGCGGUGAAUACGUUCCCGGGUCUU
rnacentral:rRNA from 1 species